rnacentral:ncRNA from 2 species
CACCUUUUUAGGGAAGAGACCAUACACUGGCACCGAAGGGGCAAAGCGGUUGGAAGCGCAUCCACCGCUGAAUCUCUCAGGUAAAAGGACCCUAAACAGAGA